rnacentral:rRNA from 1 species
AUGGGCGCGGUGGCGCGCCCGGAGCCGGCCCAGCGGAGCGCGCCGAUGCGGCUGUGCGUGCACGUGCUGGAGGCGCGGGGGCUCCCCGCCAUCUACCUCAACGGCUCCAGCGACCCCUACGUGCGCCUGCAGCUCGGGAGGCGGCGGGCCAAGACGACGGUGGUCAAGCGGAGCCUCAGCCCCGUCUGGGACGAGGAGUUCGGCUUCCUCGUCGCGGACGUCGCCGAGGAGCUCGUCGUCUCCGUGCUCAACGAGAACAAGUUCUUCAGCACCGACUUCCUCGGCCGGGUCAAGGUGCCGCUCUCCGCCAUCCUGGAGACGGAGGACCACUCGCUCGGCACCGCCUGGUACCAGCUCCAGCCCAAGAGCAGCAAGUUCAGGAGCAAAAAACGCGGUGAAAUUUGCCUGAAGAUAUACCUAUCGGUUAGGGAAGGCCACUGCAAUGAGUCGCAAAACAUUCUGAUGCAACUUAUCAACGAUACGCCAUGCAGCUCAACUAGGUCAAUUGAAACUAACGAGUCGUCCUUAUCAGCAGUUACUAGCAGCCUGGAUCAAUCAGCCUGCGCUAGCAUGGACCGUGCAUUCUAUCGUAGUGGUGUGGAUCAGCUGACCCAAAGCAACACGGACCAAAAAGUCCCGAGCAGCCUACCUUGUGGCACCACACAGCAAGCAGUUAUUCUGGAACCUGAAGAGGAUGACGGCGAUGCUACCGGCAAUGCAUCAUCAGUAGUGGAGGUCUUGGCUCGAUACUUCCGUAAAGCUGCUGAUACUGGACCUUCUCUAACAUCAGACCCCGAGCCCAUAGAUCAGUUUCAAGAAACAGAAAUAGCUGGAUCCUCUGAAAAUGGCAAGAACGGCAUGCCCGAAGUUAAUCUUGAUGAACUACUGAAAACUAUGGAGUCUAAAGAUCAAGGCGGUGGAAUGCCAGGAAACUUACCUGGUGGCGUUCUACUGGAGCAAUCUUACGUUAUUAAACCAGCUGAAUUGAAUGCCAUGCUGUUUUCAGCGAAUUCAGAUUUCUGGCCAGCAGUUGCAGAAGUUCAAGGGCUAAGUGGGUUUCAAAUUGAUCCCUGGAAAUAUGAAAAUAACGAAAAUUCUGUGAAAAGGACAUUAACUUACACAAAAGCUGCAAGCAAAUUAGUCAAGGCUGUAAAAGCUACAGAAAAGCAGACAUACUUGAAGGCAGCUGGAAAUUCGUUUGCUGUGCUUUCUAGUGUUAGUACUCCUGAAGUUCCCUGUGGUAAUUGUUUCAAGGUGGAGAUAUUGUACUGUAUAAUACCAGGUACCACAUUGCCAUCUGAAGAACAAACCUCACAGCUGACUAUAAGUUGGCGCCUGAACUUUGUUCAGAGCACAAUGCUGAAAGGAAUGAUUGAGAAUGGGACAAGGCAAGGCCUCAGAGAAGGAUAUGCACAGUUUACUGAAGUGCUUUCCAAGAAAAUCAAAGUAGCUGAGACAGAUGAUGCUAAAUCGAGCAAAGACAAGAUUCUAGCUUCACUGCAGACUCAUGAACAAUCCAAUUGGAAGCUGGUUUCCCGCUUCCUUGGGAGCUUUGCAUUCAUAUUCUCAUUUACUGUUGCAGUGUAUGGCAUUGCACACCUUGGUUUAGUCAAGCCCAGUAAAAUGGUGCAUGGAGGGCUUGAAUAUUUUGGUAUUGAUCUUCCAGAUUCAGUUGGGGAGGUUAUAUUUUGUGCUCUUUUGAUUCUUCAGGGGAGGAAUAUCUUCAAAGUAGGUCAACGUUUUUUGCAGGCCUGGAGAAAACGUGGCAGCGAUCAUGGGGUCAAAGCUCAUGGUGAUGGCUGGUUGCUGACUGUUGCACUUAUUGAGGGAAGUGGCAUAGUAGGUGCAGCCACACCAGGCUUGACUGAUCCUUAUGUAGUUUUUAUGUGCAAUGGGAAGAGGAAAACUAGCUCAGUUAAGUUCCAGACAUCAGAACCAAAAUGGAAUGAGAUAUUUGAAUUUGAUGCAAUGGAUGAUCCCCCAUCAAGGUUGGACGUGGUUGUGCAUGAUUCAGAUGGCUCACCCGAUGAUAAUGCUAUUGGUCGCACAGAAAUAAAUUUUGUGAAAAACAAUUUGUCAGAUUUGGAUGACAUGUGGCUUCCUCUCGAUGGAAGGUUUGCCCAAGGAUCUGAGCCCAAGUUACAUUUAAGAAUUUUUUUGAACAACUCGCGCGGGACUGAAGUUGUUAUGAAUUAUCUGGAAAAGAUGGGGAAAGAAGUCGGCAAGAAGAUGCCCUUGCGGUCUUCUCAGACAAAUUCAUCAUUCCGUAAGCUCUUUAGCCUUCCUCCAGAAGAAUUUCUUAUUGAUGAUUUCACCUGCCACCUAAAAAGGAAAAUGCCACUUCAGGGGCGCCUCUUUCUUUCCCCAAGAAUAAUUGGAUUUUAUUCCAAUAUAUUUGGGCGGAAAACCAAGUUUUUCUUUCUUUGGGAAGACAUUGAUGAUAUCCAGGUUGUUCCACCGUCUCUUUCAACAGUUGGCAGUCCAUCCUUGAUGAUCAUCCUCCAGAAGGACAGAGGUCUAGAAGCCAGGCAUGGUGCCAAAACACAGGAUCCUCAAGGAAGACUGAGGUUCCAUUUCCAAACAUUUGUCUCAUUCAACGAUGCUCACAGAGUUAUUAUGGCACUUUGGAAAACACGGUCAUCGGGUCUAGAACAAAAGGGAGAGACGACCGACAAAGAACCUGAACCAAAACAGCUCCCCAAUGAAGAAGUUUCUCUGUUGGGCAACGAAGACGUAAAAAUGUCAGAAGUCUACUCGGCUGUUCUUUCUGUUGAUGUCAAUGCCUUGAUGGAGAUGUUCUCCGGAGGUCCACUUGAACACAAGGUGAUGCAGAAGGCUGGUUGUGUUGACUACUCACCAACAGAAUGGGAGCCAGUAAACCGAAACAUAUACCAGAGGCAGAUCAGCUUUAGGUUAUCAAAACAUGGAGAAGCGACAACCAAGCAACAAAAAUAUAACUUACAGAAUCGAGAUGGGUGGGUCCUUGAGGAGGUCAUGACCCUCCAAGGCGUCCUGCAUGAAGACUAUUCGAGUAUCCAGCUCAAGUACCAUAUGAUGAGCACGUCGUUGAAACCAAACUCCUGCAGCAUUCAGGUGAUGUUAGGGAUUGUCUGGUUGAAGGGCACUAGGCACCAAAAGAAGGCUACAAAGAAUGUCAUGUCGAAUUCCACCAACAGGCUGAAGGAAAUAUUCUCAGAAGUCGAAAAGGAGCUUUCAUCCAGAAAAGGUGUGAGUUAG